GUUGAUCAUGCAAUGGAUCCUUUUGAUGUCUGCAAUAAUAAAACCUAAAGGCAAAGAAGGUUUCCUUCUGCUCUUGUGUACUGAGGUUUCUUCAGCCAUGUCUGAACUCAGAAAUUGCCACUUCAUAUUUUACGGUCAUAUUCAGGUUCCCAGAUUGUAAUGAUGAACAAGAUGUAAUGUAGAUGAAUCAUGUCUAGAACACAAGAAAUGUUCCCCCCAAACAAGAAGGCAACAUCAGACACCUAGAGUUUGUAGUGUGGAGCAUCUAUAAGGUAAACAAACCAACUAAAAACAGAACUUAUAGAUUUACUGUAAUUACAUAUGAAACAUAUGAAAUAGUGCCUGAUAUAUAGUAAGUAUUUGUUUAUUAUUGUUGUUCUUAUUGUUGGUUGUCUUUUAUAACAAUUCGAAGGCAUUUUAAAGUAUCUCUCCCCAGCUAGAUGGACAAUGAUGAGAUAAAGUGGUAA
rnacentral:lncRNA from 1 species